rnacentral:rRNA from 1 species
UACGAAGGGGGCUAGCGUUGCUCGGAAUCACUGGGCGUAAGCGCACGUAGGCGGCUUCUUAAGUCAGGGGUGAAAUCCUGGAGCUCAACUCCAGAACUGCCUUUGAUACUGAAGAUCUUGAGUUCGGGAGAGGUGAGUGGAACUGCGAGUGUAGAGGUGAAAUUCGUAGAUAUUCGCAAGAACACCAGUGGCGAAGGCGGCUCACUGGCCCGAUACUGACGCUGAGGCACGAAAGCGUGGGAGCAAACAGG